ensembl:lncRNA
AAGAAAAAAGUUAUUUAUUUUGUCAUUGCCACAGUUUAAAAAAUAUCACUGAAUACUUGUAGGAUAUUGCAAACUGAAGGGAAUUAAAAUAAAAUCUCCCCAGAAAAAGGAACCUUACUCCAAGUUAGAUAAAAAAUACUCUGCAUGAGUAAUUGGAUCCCUAAAUGUAAUGAAAUGUUGGCGGAACGUUGUGCUGCAUACCAAAUACUCCCUUUAACAAGCUGAAAUCUGAAAACGGUGGAAACAUAGGUCAGAGUUUCUGCUCAGAAAUGAUAGCACAAGAACAAGGAGCUGCAUUAGAAAUGGGUUUCCCAUUCAUAAAUAUAUGAUAAGCAUUGUUUGGAAGAGGCUUCUUUUUUCAUGAACAGCUAGAGUCAGAAGGGAACAAAAGCUUCAAAUGAAAACCCACCGGGCUUAAGGAGACUGACACAACCCAUUAGGAGAAUGACAUUUUUCUUCCUGAGAUAGUAUAUUGUCACUUGACAGAAAUUAAGAGAAGAAAUAAAAAAUGCAUUUUAUGUACUGUGGCAAUACAUUUGUAUUGGUGAAGUUUUAGUGGAAAUAUCAUAUCUCACAAAAAUAGAAUACAAUAACGGGUGAAAUUAUUUGCAGGCAUUGGAGCUAUUAAUAACGUGGACUCAGGUUGUCACCACUCUGGAAAAAAAGUCAAAGAUGAGAUAUUGCAUGAACGCAUUUGCAAGAGCUCUCCCUGUCCAUUUCCUCUCUCCAGGUAUGGAGUUUUCUGUGCAACGUGGAACUAGGAUGGAUCAGGCAGAAAUUGGAGCUGGAUAAGUUUUCAGUGGUACAGGCAUUGCAAGGUAUAAGCAGAAAAGCCACAGGAAGCCUAACACAGCAUGAAUGUUACUCGAUGAACCCUGACACGACAGUGGGAUGCUGGAGGACAAGGAUUUUAAGUCUUGAUUCUCCCAGCUUCCAAACUACUACUCCAGUUUUAUGGAACGUGGAUGUCCUGCCUACUAGGAAUAACUUCAGUUAUCUUCUGUUGAUGUCUGGAGAUGGGAACAGAUGCAAACAUAGAGAGAAACAGAUACUUCAGUGCCAGGUGUGCUGCAUUUGUUCUAAGUUUCAUUUAGGUCUUGUUGGGUAACCUUCAUAACAAACUUCAUUAUUUUGAUAAGAUAUUUAGAACACCAACUAUAUUUUCCAAAUCAGUAGAAUUUGAGUUUUUCCUCAUCGUCUAAACCUAUGAAAGGUCAAAGACAAAGUUGCAAAAACCAGAGGAAUCUUUCCAGGCUAUCUCUUUAAGAGCUGCAGAUUAUCAACUCUCCGCUGAAGUGAACAGAUCUCCUCCAAAUUUUCUUGGAUGACUACAUGGCAUACAUGCUUUCUUUCCACAAGAAAGCAUAAAGUGACCCCUUCCCCACAUUUAAUUUAAUUUAAUUUAAUUUUGUUUUACUUUAUUUGCCAAGUUAGUAAACCUCUUCCUGCCCAAUAAAUGUAUGCUUUCUUUAACAGGAAUUACCCUUAGUUUGAUAAUUUCAAACUCAAACUUGUCAUGACCAACAGAGGUCAGAUCUACAGGCAUUGUCUGACACCCAGAGCUAAGUUCCCCUAAAUUGGGAAAAUAUGCCACAUUUCCACCUCCCCCCCCCCCCCCCCCCCCCCCAACUUUUAUCACAAAAUUAUUCAUGCUAUUUGUCCAGAAAUGUAGGAACUUCUGUGAGGCCCUAUUGAUAUCUACCAGUCCUACAUAGCAGAUACCCUCUCUCAGAUACUAUAAGGUCUGUGUACAAGCAACUGAAUCAAAGCAAUUUAGAUGUUUGUCAUAGGAUUUUCAAAAACAUUUGUCACUAUUCUCUCACUGAAAAUCACUGGAGCUGCAUUUUAAUAAUCAGCAGCUGAUCUGAAACAUUCUAACCCAUCACCUUGUGUCUCCUGACUAUCUUGUGUAAUAGCUGGUAUGUAUCUGCCAGAAAAUUUGCAAGACACCAGGAAAGGUGUGGAAGUGUAUCUAUGGGAAGGAUAAACCAUGAGACUUCAAAGUCAGCACAUAUCUGACAGUUUAGAAGAUUUUAUACUGGUGUAUAAAAGCAUUUUAAAUAUUAUAGCAACGUGUAAUCACAGAAUUUUGGAAUUAUAUAUAAACGUACUUCAAGUAAAACUUAUUAUGUACCUAAAAGUUUUAAACAGUGUAUUUGAACUAUAAGCCAUAUAUUCUCUGUUUUUCAUUGGUUUACACUGGUAUUAAGCAUAUUUUUAUAUAACUGGGACAGAAUUAUCUUAAUAUAUCUUCAUAUAUCUUCCCUUGCAGUGUUAUACUUCAUAAUCUUGUCUUUCAAAAGGUGACACUGACAAAAGGGAAGAAGUAAAGCUCCUGUUUUGAUCCAUUGCAGUCCUGGAAAUUGUCUGCUCAAGGAGAGCACCAAGUGGCAGGUCAAGCAGUGCAGUUUUCACAUUCUAAUCUCUACCUCCAAGCUAGCUUAUUCCUUGGAUGUGUUUGAUAAAACAAAGAGAGAGGAAGGAUAAAUUUCCAGUGUAACAUCACUUUGUGGUGGUUAGCAAUGAAUAGAACCAGAAGAUCAUAAUCUCUUCAGUCUCUGUGCUUUCUCCCUUUGAAUUUCUCUCCAUUCAGAAGCAGGAAGGGGUUGUUCUCUUGAUGCAGUAGGAAACCCUCCAGCAGGAUCAAAGCAGUGAUGUAUUCAGGCUUAUUAAGGAGCUGAGGCACUCAGGAUAUAGAAACAAGGGGUCCCUCCUGCUGUCUUAUCUUCUCC